ACACUGUCCGUGAGUUAACUUGCUUUUGUUCACUGAAGUGGAACUAUUAAUUCAUUGGAAGGGAUGUGUAUCAGCACAGCUUUGAAAAGACAGUGGCGGUGUGCGGCCUUGCAGCGUCCUGGGUGACCCCCGGGGAAGAGGAGAUGGAUCGAGGUGGUGGCUGUUGUUAGGAUGGUGCUCUGGAUUCUCUAGGUGCCUGUCCUCGGGGCUUUAGAGCCGAUAAGGCAGCAGAAGCUGGAGCCGUGGUUGUUUACAGUGGACACUGGAGACUGUGAAAAGAGGCUGAAGAGAUCGACACUUGUUCAAAUUUACACUAUGUGUUGGAAGUGGAAUUAGGACAAGAAUCCGGGUCACUGAAGUAAACUCUAGGUCCACCAGUCUUUCUCCUCCACCAUAGGAUCUGUAGUGAUCAUUUGCAGUCAGAGAUCACCUUGCAGAAAGAUUCAAAGAAGCUACCGAUUCACCAGUGACUCAAAGGUACAUACUGCAAACAUGACCAUAGAUAUUAUGUAGCAAUGGGAAAUGCUUCUGCGGUUUUGGAGACCUGUCUUCCACCUUCUUGCUACCUGGAUUGCAGGUGUAGCAGUGGAACUUCAGAGCCAUCUUGGACCCAGAUGUAAACUUGGGAACGAAAGCCACACACCGCUGAACAGUAAGUAGAUGAGAAAACUGAAGUUCAUUAGCAUCUAGGCAAGUCCUGACGAAGGUCGUGCCACUGGUAAACAGUGGAAUCAGGAUUUGAAUUCAGGUCUGGACUCUUUGUAUUCUGUCUGUGUGUCGGUUACAACCUUACUGUGGAGACUCAGCCGUGAAAGCAGAAGGAGGUGGAAGGUUAGCGGAAGCUGGAGAGGAAAAAAGGUGAAGAUCUUUUGAAGUUUUCCUGCUCAGCCAGGAAAACAUGGCUGCAGUUAUCAGCAUAAUGCUUUGGAAGUCCAUCCACGUGUCACCUGUAUCAAUACUUAUUUCCCCUUGUGGGUAAGUAAUAUACUUGUUUCUCAAAUGAAAAAACUGAGGCACAUAAAGGCUAUUUAACGCAUCCAGGAUGGCACAGGAAGGAGACAGCAGAGGCGGGAUCUGGACCCAGAAGACCACCUGAGAAGCCCGUGUCCUUGAGAAGCAUUGCCUCUAAGGAGUGCACGGGAAACGAGCACAGGGAGGGAGCAGACCGGGAGUCAGGAGCAGCAGAUGCCAAGGGCCUCUUAAGCGGCGCCUGGUGUUCAGUUUUAGGUUGUUUCCUAGUCCACGCUAUGCACCCAGCUUCUCCAUUCUUCCCAAACCUGCAGUAAACUCUUCCUCCCUGUCCUCCUUGGUAUUAGUCUGCCUUGAGGAAGUAAUGAAGGGUGGCGUCCAGAGCGGAGACAGGAAUUUGGACUAAAGCUACAUGGGAAAAGAAUUAGAAAAAGAAUAGAUACAUGUAUAUGUACAACUGAAUCACUUCGCUGUGCACCUGAAACGAACUCAGCAGUCUUAAUCAACUGUGCUACAACAUAAAAUAAAAAUAGUUUUACAUGUCCUGGAAAAUGUAAGCUCUGGACGCUUUAAAAAUUCAUGGAUGUCUGACUAAGCUGAUUUAUUGAAGUAUUCCGGGAGAGUAAGACCUCGGGGGUGAGGGGGAGCUGCAGGGUUUAAGGGCAGGCCUACAUAGGUUGGAUGGCAUCAUUGACUCAACGGACAUGAGUUUGAGCAAGCUCCGGGAGAUGGUGAUGGACAGGGAAGCCUGGCAUG
ensembl:lncRNA